rnacentral:rRNA from 1 species
UACGGGGGGAGCAAGCGUUGUUCGGAUUUACUGGGCGUAAAGGGCUCGUAGGCGGCCAACUAAGUCGGACGUGAAAUCCCCAGGCUCAACCUGGGAACUGCGUCCGAUACUGGAUGGCUUGAAUCCGGGAGAGGGAUGCAGAAUUCCAGGUGUAGCGGUGAAAUGCGUAGAUAUCUGGAGGAAUACCGGUGGCGAAGGCGGCAUCCUGGACCAUUACUGACGCUGAGGCGCGAAAGCUAGAGGAGCAAACGGG